rnacentral:rRNA from 1 species
CCUACGGGAGGCAGCAGUGAGGAAUAUUGGUCAAUGGUCGGGAGACUGAACCAGCCAAGCCGCGUGAGGGAGGAAGGUACAGAGUAUCGUAAACCUCUUUUGUCAGGGAACAAAGACUGGGACGCGUCCCCGGAUGAGUGUACCUGAAGAAAAAGCAUCGGCUAACUCCGUGCCAGCAGCCGCGGUAAUACGGAGGCUGCGAGCGUUAUCCGGCUUUAUUGGGUUUAAAGGGUGCGCAGGCGGUCUGUUAAGUCAGCGGUCAAAGCCCGGGGCUCAACCCCGGCCCGCCGUUGAAACUGGCAGUCUCGAGUUGGAGAGAAGUAUGCGGAAUGCGCGGUGUAGCGGUGAAAGGCAUAGAUAUCGCGCAGAACUCCGAUUGCGAAGGCAGCAUGCCGGCUCCACACUGACGCUGAGGCACGAAAGCGUGGGUAUCGAACAGGAUUAGAUACCCGGGUAGUC